rnacentral:lncRNA from 10 species
CCGUGGACUCUCACUCCAGUCUCAUGAGUUACAUAUUUAUCCCUACCUGCAAGGGGGGCAGGGAAUCUAGAGUCUCACUCUUUUUGCCAUUACCAUAGGAGGCAGGCAAGAUAAAAGGAGACUGGGAAAAACUCUUGUGUUAUUCGAUUAACAGUGUCUGCCAGAGAGGUUUAGUUGGUCUCAAUAGGUAUGGAAGCCUGAAGGGAAAAGACAAGAGGCCUUCUCUUAGAGCUUGGCCUCCCCAGCAGGGAGUGAGGUGGGCUUUCAUCCUUAGAGAGGUUCAGGGUAGGUUCAGGGCCUCCCUUGGCGACCUGGGAGACCAACAGGGAAGGAAGAACUCACAGCCACGUACUGCAGCCUGGAGCCAGAGGCCUGUUUUUGUAGGUCAGAAGCCUAUGUUGGCUCAGCUGGUUUCUCUGCUCUGGGUUUCUUGGAAAUCAAGGUGUGGCUGAGCUCUUAUUGGGAAGCUCUGGGAAGACUCCAUUUCCAAGCUCAUUCAUUGGUAGGUAGAAUCCUGUUCCCUGCUGUUGUAGUACUGAGGUCUCCAUCUCCUUGCUUGUUGUAAGCCUAGGGCCUGUCUUUUCUCCCAGAGACAUCAUUCUGGUCUUUGCACAUGGGCCUCUGUAUUCUGAAGCCAGCAGCGGUGUGUCAAAUCUUACUCAGGCCUGGAAUCUGACUUCCUUUUCCUUGUGCUAUAUCUCCCCUUUGCCUCCAAGUGGAGAAAAUCGCUCAAAACUAAAAAUACAGGUAUGAGUCUAAUGUCAAAGGUAUGGACAUGGGUUAGCUGGAGAGCAAUAGUGGUGUCCUUGCCCACAGCUCUAUUCUGGAGCUUGUCAGAUGGAGGAAAUCCAAAGAGUAGCUUUAUUUAUAAGUGCUAGAAGACAUUUACAACAGUUUAACACUCUUAGGCAACUGUGGAGAGAAAACCCAGAAACAAGGAAGUAAAUCCAGUUUUCGCUUCCCUGUGGAAUUCCUUGCCUCAAGGUACCUCAGACUGUAUUAUGGAAGAAAAGACGCCAGAGUCCUGGAGGCAUCUUGGUCUUGAUGCUGUGUAAAACUCUACCUUUGGAAAAGGUGCACUGAGCCGAGAAGAGAGUAUUUUUAUGCACAUCUCAAUGUCUUGAAAUCUGACCAAGCCUAGAAAUGCAUUCUUUUUUUUUUUUUUUAAGUGGAGACCGGGUUUCACCAUGUUGGUCAGGCUGGUCUCAAACUCCUGAUCUCAAGUGAUCCACCUGCCUUGGCCUCCCAAAGUCCUGGGAUUACAAGCAUGAACCACAGUGCCCAGUCUAUAAAUGCAUUCUUUUUUUUUUUUUUUUGAGAUGGAGUCUUGCUCUGUUGCCCAGGCUGGAGUGCAAUGGUGAGAUCUCGGCUUACUGCAACCUCCACCUCCCAGGUUCAAGCGAUUCUCCUGCCUCAGCCUCUUUAGUAGCUGGGAUUACAGGCACCUGCCACCACACUGGGCUAAUUUUUGUAUUUUUAGUAGAGAUGGGUUUUCGCCGUGUAGGCCAGGCUGGUCUCGAACUUCU